rnacentral:rRNA from 1 species
CCGACGGUGAGGGGCGAAGCCUAGGGGCACGAACCGGAUUAGAUACCCGGGUAGUCCCAGCUGUAAACGAUGCAAACUCGAUGAUGCGUUGGCUUAUUGCUAGCGCAGUGUCGCAGGGAAGCCGUUAAGUUUGCCGCCUGGGAAGUACGUACGCAAGUAUGAAACUUAAAGGAAUUGGCGGGGGAGCACCACAAGGGGUGAAGCCUGUGGUUCAAUUGGAGUCAACGCCUGAAACCUUACCCGGAGAGACAGCAGAAUGAAGGUCAAGCUGAAGACUUUACCAGACAAGCUGAGAGGUGGUGCAUGGCCGUCGCCAGCUCGUGCCGUGAGAUGUCCUGUUAAGUCAGGUAACGAGCGAGAUCCCUGCCUCUAGUUGCCACCAUUACUCUCAGGAGUAGUGGGGCGAAUUAGCGGGACCGCCGCAGUUAAUGCGGAGGAAGGAAGGGGCCACGGCAGGUCAGUAUGCCCCGAAACUCUGGGGCCACACGCGGGCUGCAAUGGUAACGACAAUUGGUUUCGAAUCCGAAAGGAUGAGGUAAUCCUCAAACGUUACCACAGUUAUGACUGAGGGCUGCAACUCGCCCUCACGAAUAUGGAAUCCCUAGUAACUGCGUGUCAUUAUCGCGCGGUGAAUACGUCCCUGCUCCUUGCACACACCGCCCGU